GAUGAACGCUAGCGAUAGGCUUAACACAUGCAAGUCGAGGGGCAGCAUUAUUUUAGCUUGCUAAGAUAGAUGGCGACCGGCGCACGGUGCGUAACGCGUAUGCAACCUGCCUGUAAUUAGGGAAUAACCCGGUGAAAGUCGGACUAAUACCCUAUAUUCUUCUUUCUCCGCAUGGGGAAGGACGGAAAGAUUUAUUGAUUACAGAUGGGCAUGCGUCCCAUUAGCUUGUUGGUAAGGUAACGGCUUACCAAGGCAACGAUGGGUAGGGGGACUGAGAGGUUGACCCCCCACACUGGUACUGAGACACGGACCAGACUCCUACGGGAGGCAGCAGUGAGGAAUAUUGGUCAAUGGGCGAGAGCCUGAACCAGCCAAGUCGCGUGAAGGACGACGGUUCUAUGGAUUUGUAAAACUUCUUUUGUAGAGGAAUAAAUGGCAAGCUACGUGUAA
rnacentral:rRNA from 1 species